ACCUCUUCUGACCUCUGUAAGGUCCUGCACACGUGUGCUGCACGCACAUACACACACUCAGGCAAACACAUACACAUGGAAUUUAAACUAAAAAAAUAAUUAUUAUUUCUGAAGUCAAUGUUUCUUUGAUCACAUUGUCUAGUUACUGCUUACGUUGUUCAUGUAUUUCAUAAACUUGGAGAACUUAAGGUUGAGCAACUAAAAGGAUUUCCUUUUAGUUAUUUUUAGGAUUUUCAGUGAGACUCCAUAGUCACCUCUAAAACUGAGUUUCUUGAUGACAUUUAGCAUUUGGAGAGGGGCCACGUUCUCAUACGUUGGCCUCUCUUCUCUUACCUCUUUCACAUCCCUUUCUCCUUGUCUUGGCCCCCCUCCCCUUUUGUUUGCUCAUUCCUGCAGUUUCUUGUGUUGCUGGAAAUCAAGGCGCUACCAAGAAAUGCCAGCAAAAGGAAGAGAAGGAAAACUGGUUUCAGGCCUCAGGACGACACUGAAGAAAUAGCUUGCUCAAACACUUAUUUGCAAAAUGAAGGUUUCUUCAGAUCUUCUGCGGCAUCACACACUGCUUGCUUGCUUGGGUGUACAGAGCCAUGAGGUGAUGAUGGACCAUGAAAGAGCAAAAUUCAAGUGAGAUGCUGGUCUCGAACGGGAAGGCAGUCUAUCUGGGUUUCAGCACAGUGAGAAUGCAAAGACUUCCUGGCUGGCCUUGCUUCCCCUCGAUACUAUGUGGUUCUCUGACAUCAGCACAGAUAUAUUCAGCCUUGACAUACGAUACUGGCUGGCAUGAAAAAGAAGGUGAAGAUGAGUAAGCUUACAAGCAGGACAUGGCUGUGCUUAAGACUAAAUGGUAUUUGUAACAGGUGUUCCUUGGAACCAGGGUCAGAAAGGACUGCUUCUUCUAUUUAAAAAAAAUGGUUAAGUAGCUUUUACAUGUAGAAACUACGAAAUUGAUGCAUUUGUGACUAUGACACACCAGGAAAUUAUAUUCAGUAAUGAGGUGCAGCCACAGUUUUCCCUUUGUUCCUUCUAUUUCUGUCUCUGCGUGUAUGUAAUGUAUGCACAUUUUGGUGUAGGCUUGGGCACCGGGUCAAUGCCACCAUAAAUGUGGGGGGAGCAGCCUCGAGGACUGGUCCUUGCUUCCUACAUAUUUGACAGAGGCUCUCCUGUUGUUCUCUGCUGUCCAUGUUGGACUAGAUGGCCCAGGAGCCUUAGGAUACUGUCCUGUGUCUGCCUCCCAGCCUCCACAGGAACACGGCAUGAUUACAGAUGCUUUGACGCUCAGACUGUUGGGCACGCAUGACAAACAUUUACCCUCUGAGCUGGAUCCCCAGCCUGGCAAACACUUGCCCACUGAACCAUAUCGACAGCCCAAUUCCUUCUAUUUCCAGAUAUAAGGCGUCAUGUGCCUAUGGCAUAUGUUCAGAGGUGGUGGGAUGAGUUGGUUUAACUCCUGAGAUUUUUUUUUCCUAAUGGUUCUACACUCUGUAUAUGGCAAACUUUUAUAUUUUAAAGACAGAAUAUCUUCUUCAUUCUUGGAGAAUGAUUAAAUUUAACAGGUUGUCAGGCAAUUAACAAUAACAGCAGAACUGAACAAUCAAACACUUCUUACUUAUUUUUAACAUCAGAUUCUAAAGCAUUGUUGUUAUUAAAUAGUAACAAGAGACCGUUUGCAUCAAAGUUUAGUAACCCAAAGCCCCCCCCCCCCCAUAUUUACAAAAACAAAAAAGCAUUUUUCUUAAUGUUUACUUCCAAUACUGGCUGUUCCUUUAAGAGUAAUCAAGCUGGCUUAGUGUAAUAGUAGACUUUGAAGUCAUGGCAUCUAGACUACUUUUCUUAGGUUAUGACUUUGUCCCUGUGACUCCCCUUCCAGCCCCACCACUGGCUCUAACCAGAGUGUGGCUAGGACUUCAAUCUAGGAAACACAUGUCUGGACUUCUUCUGGUUCUUGAAGUUUGAUAUUACUCAUUGCAAAGUAUUUUCUGCAGAGAAAGAAAUCAAAUAUGGCAAAUUCAUUGUCUAGAAAACUACUGUUGAAUUUACUUACUAGUUUGGCUCUAUCUAAUUUUUAAAAAUUUAUAUGAUAGGGAACGAUGGUUAUUCCUCUUUCCUAUCUACUCUGGAAGUUCUGAUAUUUCUGCAUCACUCACUGAAGUAAUAAUAAAACACCACAACCCAGAGGAAACACCACCUCCAAUAGAUGUAUGUAUAAAAAUGUUUUUGUAUGCCAAUUUUCCUUAUCCUCUUUCUUAUAAUUAGCGUGCUAUUAUAUUUGACCCUAGCACAAUGUUUUAAUUAGGCUGUCCAUGCAUAUUUCAAUAAACUUGAUUUUUUUGACACUUCAAACAUAACCUUGUGUCACUCAUGCCUGCCUCCUAUUUUAAAUUUAUGACAUGUUCCAGCUGUAGAAAUUACCAUGGUUACUUCUUACGCUGAUAGUAAACUAGAGCUGGCACUUAAAAGUACUGUGCUCUAUUACGUAUCUGCAUUGACAUGGACAUCAACAUCUCAAUAAUUCCAACAUUAUCAAUUAAUAUGGGAACCUGAAGAAAUGUGACUAUGAGACAAUUAGUCACUGUUGAAGAUAUUUUUAAGAGAUGAAAUGUAUGUAAAGGUUUUUUUUGUGGCAGCAUGGUCUAUUGAUGUUCUUUCUCUGAUUCUUCAUGUGAAUGCCAAAUAUGGUUUUAUUACCAAUACUGUUGAAUGGUUGCAGUCUUACUCCUGCUGUACUCUUUAGAAACAGACAGGAUAUCAGUACUUUGGGUGAACAUGAUUGAUUCAAUUAGGAACUGAUGAACAGAGAACAUGAGAAGUAUGUCUUCCCCCAAACACUCUUGUCUAAGAGUGGUAUCUGGGACUGAGGUGAUCUGAUCAGAAUCUACAAUUCUCUGCAGACCAGUUAUGUUAUUUCUGCUCUUAGACUUUUCUUACUUCAGAAGAGACACAAGGACAGUGUCUUCAUUAACACACUGGACAUGACAGGUGAGGUUUGUGACUGCUUCGCCUUGGCUAAGGCUGUCCCAAGCAAGACUGCAUCUAAGACACAGUUCCUUUGUAAGUCACUGUUGGACCACCCCUCCUUCGGAAGGAGCUUUAGAGUGUCUUGGAAAUCACCCACGGACUGAGGCCAGUGCCACAUGCUGCCGCACUGAGAUCUGUGCUUACCUG